rnacentral:rRNA from 1 species
UACGUAGGGUGCGAGCGUUGUCCGGAAUUACUGGGCGUAAAGAGUUCGUAGGCGGUUUGUCACGUCGUUUGUGAAAACUCACAGCUCAACCGUGAGCCUGCAGGCGAUACGGGCAGACUUGAGUACUGCAGGGGAGACUGGAAUUCCUGGUGUAGCGGUGAAAUGCGCAGAUAUCAGGAGGAACACCGGUGGCGAAGGCGGGUCUCUGGGCAGUAAACUGACGC